CAGUGGGACACCCUUCCCCAACGAAGGGCAAUUAUCUGUAAGGAUAGAUAUU
rfam:alpha proteobacterium HTCC2255 scf_1100007007381 genomic scaffold, whole genome shotgun sequence.